rnacentral:rRNA from 1 species
AUUGAACGCUGGCGGCAGGCUUAACACAUGCAAGUCGAGCGAGCGGCGGACGGGUGAGUAAUGUCUGGGAAACUGCCUGACGGAGGGGGAUAACUACUGGAAACGGUAGCUAAUACCGCAUACCAUCAGAUGUGCCCAGAUGGGAUUAGCUAGUAGGUGGGGUAAUGGCUCACCUAGGCGACGAUCCCUAGCUGGUCUAAGAGGAUGACCAACCCCACUGGAACUGGUACACUGUCCGGACUCCUACGUGAGGCAGCAGUGGGGAAUAUUACACAAUGUGCGCAAACCGGAUGCAGCCAUACCGCGUGUGUGAAGAAGGCCUUCGGGUUGUAGAGCACUUUCAGCGAGGAAGCGUGACUCGCAGAAGAAGCACCGGCUAACUCCGUGCCAGCAGCCACGGUAAUAC